GUUUCCUCACGAUGUUUUCCUUCACCGUUAAAGCAAGUGAUAUUUACCUAAUUGCUUAAAACUCACAUAACUGAAAAAUUAGUGGUGCGUACCCGGGAUCGAACCCCCGACCUCCGAUUAGGAGGCGGGCGUUCUAACCAACAAUGGCUAUCACAGCUUCGUACCGAGCCGAGU